GUUAGGAAUAUUGGACAAUGGGCGCAAGCCUGAUCCAGCCAUGCCGCGUGAGUGAUGAAGGCCUUCGGGUUGUAAAGCUCUUUAGCCGAUGAUUAUAAUGACUGUAGUCGGAAAAUAAGCCCCGGCUAACUUCGUGCCAGCAGCCGCGGUAAUACGAAGGGGGCGAGCGUUAUUCGGAAUCACUGGGCGUAAAGCGUGCGUAGGCGGCUUUGCAAGUUGGGAGUGAAAGCCCAGGGCUCAACCCUGGAAUUGCUCUCAAAACUGCAAGGCUCGAAUUCGGGAGAGGAUAGCGGAAUUGUCAGUGUAGCAGUGAAAUGCGUAGAUAUUGACAGGAACACCAGUGGCGUAAGCGGCUAUCUGGACCGAUAUUGACGCUGAGGCACGAAAGCGUGGGGAUCAAACAGGAUUAGAAAACCCGGUAGUCC
rnacentral:rRNA from 1 species